GGAUGUGAGGGCGAUCUGGCUGCGACAUCUGUCACCCCAUUGAUCGCCAGGGUUGAUUCGGCUGAUCUGGCUGGCUAGGCGGGUGUCCCCCUCCUCCCUCACCGAUCCAUGUGCGUCCCUCCCGAAGCUGCGCGCUCGGUCGAAGAGGACGACCUUCCCCCCCGAGGAGAGGACCGGUCUUUUCGGUCAAGGGUAUACGAGUAGCUGCGCUCCCCUGCUAGAACCUCCAAACAAGCUCUCAAGAAUAGGAUUUAGAAUAUCAGUGUGCCAAUGAGUCUUUACUGAAGACAUUAGUGAUACAUUGCUACUUGAAUUUAAAAUGGUGGUUUUAU
ensembl:misc_RNA 7SK 7SK RNA